rnacentral:misc_RNA from 1 species
AAGUCGUAACAAGGUCUCCGUAGGUGAACCUGCGGAGGGAUCAUUAACACGUAUCCAAACGUUCUAUAAACCCCCAACGUGCUCCUAUUCUCCCACGAGAACGGCGUACUGUUAGCCAUAGGUGAGGUUUCUCUUUCUUCGGAGAGAGAGAUUGCUAACAGUCUAUUUAUUGCUCAAAAGGGCUACCGACACAUCGUGGUGUACCAAAGUCACCUUGGCUAUUAGGCCACCUCAGCAUGCUGAUCUCAUUUAUGGGAUUGGCUAACCUGAAGCCUAGUAUGCCUUAUUGAUCCCCAUUUUUAACCCCUUUUUAUAUAACUACUGAACUACUUUAAUUGGACUUCGGUCUAGUUAAGUAUUACGAAACGCGAACAACUCUUAGCAACGGAUAUCUUGGUUCUC